rnacentral:rRNA from 1 species
UACGGGGGGGGCAAGCGUUGUUCGGAAUUACUGGGCGUAAAGCGUGCGCAGGCGGCUUUGCAAGACAGAUGUGAAAUCCCCGGGCUCAACCUGGGAACUGCAUUUGUGACUGCAUCGCUCGAGUGUGGCAGAGGGGGAUGGAAUUCCGCGUGUAGCAGUGAAAUGCGUAGAUAUGCGGAGGAACACCGAUGGCGAAGGCAAUCCCCUGGGCAUGCACUGACGCUGAGGCGCGAAAGCGUGGGGAGCGAACAGG